rnacentral:rRNA from 1 species
CCUACGGGAGGCAGCAGUGGGGAAUAUUGGGCAAUGGACGCAAGUCUGACCCAGCAACGCCGCGUGAAGGAAGAAGGCUUUCGGGUUGUAACCUUCUUUUAAGGGGGAAGAGCAGAAGACGGUACCCCUUGAAUAAGCCACGGCUAACUACGUGCCAGCAGCCGCGGUAAUACGUAGGUUGCAAGCGUUGUCCGGAUUUACUGGGUGGAAAGGGCGUGCAGCCGGAGAGACAAGUCAGAUGUGAAAUCCACGGGCUCAAACCGUGAACUGCAUUUGAAACUGUUUCCCUUGAGUGUCGGAGAGGUAAGCGGAAUUCCGAGUGUAGCGGUGAAAUGCGUAGAUAUUAGGAAGAACACCAGUGGCGAAGGCGGAUUACUGGACGAUAACUGACGGUGAGGCGCGAAAGCGUGGGGAGCAAACAGGAUUAGAUACCCUAGUAGUC